UACGUAGGGUGCAAGCGUUGUCCGGAAUUAUUGGGCGUAAAGGGCGCGUAGGCGGCCACGACAAGUCACUUGUGAAAUCUCCGGGCUUAACUCGGAACGGUCAAGUGAUACUGUCGGGCUAGAGUACAGAAGGGGCAACUGGAAUUCUCGGUGUAGCGGUGAAAUGCGUAGAUAUCGAGAGGAACACCUGCGGCGAAGGCGGGUUGCUGGGCUGAUACUGACGCUGAUGCGCGAAAGCCAGGGGAGCGAACGGG
rnacentral:rRNA from 1 species